rnacentral:lncRNA from 1 species
AGAAAAUUUCUUUUCUUUACAAUUUGGUUCUUUUACCAAAAAAAUCACCAUUUUUACUUAGAAAUCAAAAGAAUUUCCAUAGCUGCCAAGAGAGUAAAAUAAUAAGGAGACUAUGGGGAGUUACAAUAUCAAGUUAGAUUCAAGAAAUAGAAGCUGGAUGAGAGAGAAAAUCAAGUUAAAGAUUGAAAUCAAUAGAAUAAGGUAAGAACAUCAAGAUUUUAAUAUAUUUUUAAGUUUGAUAUUAUUGAAAAAGCAUGAAAAUGAUUUUAAAGUAGAGUUUUAUUAUAUAAGGUUCUAUGUUCUUGAUAUGUUAGUGGAGGGAAAUAAGAGGAAGUGAUAGGAAAUAUUGUAGAGAAAGGAAAUGAGGGUGUUAUAAAGUUAGUUAUCAACAUUUUACACUAAAAAAGUUUUGGACAGUAGCAAUAGUCUGACUUUGAAAAUUUACCAAAAAUUGUAGAAAUUGAAUUAGAGGUUAAGUAAAGUAUUAAAUCAAACCCUGUUGAGUCUAGUUUUACAUACAAGAAACGUUGUAAGCAAAAAAAUUUCAUAUUAUGAGAUAUAUGAAUUUUUGUGAGACAAGGUCAGAUUGAUUUUGGGUUCCCCUAUUCUGACUUUAGAAAAUCAUAAAAAAUUUUAAAAAAAUAAUUAUAGGUUUAAAUUUAUAUGUUUAAAUUAUUAAUGAGUAUAUUUUCAAGAGAAACAAAUAGAAACAUCAUCCAAAUUUCGUACUUAGAGAUAAUUAAUUUUUAGUAAAGAAAGGUCGAAGCUGCUAAACAACGGAACAGAGAUAAAUUUGAAGAUUUUACUGUACUUAUUGGCUAAAUAUUAAAUUCUAAAAUUUUUAUGGUAAAAAUAUAUUUGAGUCUAGUUUCAAAAACAUCAAGCAGAUCUUAAUUUAGAAUUCUGUAGCUCAAGAUAUAAAUAAUUUAGUGACUAUGACUUAAGUGGACAACUUUGAUAUGAAUAUAAGUAAAUAGUGGAAUUAUAGAUAAUAUUACAUAUAAGCAUGUUAUAUACAUUAAGGAUGUGGAAUGGAGAGGAGGAGGAGGAAAAUAUAUGAAUAUUCAGCUAGCAUGGGUUUACAUUAAAAAUGGCUAAUUUGCAUGUUUUAGGCUCAGGGGCUAAAUUGAAUAAAAGUAAAAUUUUAAGGGUAAUUUUGCAAAAAUGUAAAAAAUGACCAAAUUGUAUGAAAUGAAUUAUUUUAUUGUCUAAAUUAAUAUAUAUUGAAAGAAAUUAUUAAUAUCAAGUGGGUUUAGAGCUUUAAUUUUGUUGUAUGAUGAUAUUAUAAAGUGAUUUUGUAAAUAUUAAUGUUAGUAUCAAGUUGUGAAAAUAGUUAAAAUAUUAGGGUUUGGUAUUAAAUUUCUAUUUUAUUAAGGGUUGUAUGAUAGCCUAGAAUAUUUGGAUAAAUUAUUAAUUGAGAAAAAUUAGUUGAGUUAAUAGAUUUACUAGUUAAGAGACUAAAUUGUAAAAGUUGAAAAAGUUGGGGUAAUUGUGUAAAUUUGAAAAGUUGAAGGGUAUAAAAUGUGAAAUAAAUUGAAACUGAAAUAUAUGCUAAUGAAUGAGUAAUUUUAUAUUUUAGAUUAAGAUUCCGUAGUUACUUGUAAAAAAAGGAAAAAUAAUGGAAUAGUCCUUGAACUCCUGCAAUUAUUACAAUUCAAUUCAGGUAAGUUCAUAUGUUUAAACUUUCAUGAUUAUGUGUUAAUUUAGGAAUGGUAUAAUAGAUUAUUCCUAUUUUGUUGUUGAAAUUAAGAUUAUUGUAAAAGUAUAAAAAUUGAAUUGAAUGUUUAAAAUGAGUAGAACGCAGGAUUAAGUAUGAGCGUUCCGUCGCAAAGAAUGAAUUGACGAAUAAGACCAUGGUUAGACCAUGGAAAUGUUUAAAUGUAAGACCAUGGUUGAGCUGUGGCAUUUUAAUGAAAAGACCAUAACUGGGUUAUGACACUAUGAACGUAAGACCAUGGUUGGACCAUGAGAGUGUUUAUAUGUAAGACCAUAGCUGGGCUAUGACAUUCUGAUGAUAAGACCAUAAUUGGGCUAUGGCACUAUGAACGUAAGACCAUGGUAGUUUUUAUAUGUAAGACCAUAGCUAGGCUAUAUCAUUCUGAUGAUAAGACCAUAAUUGGGUUAUGGCACUACGAAUGUAAAGGAUGAAUUGACGGAAAAUGUAAAGGAUGAUAUAUGAAGAAACAGUAAAAGAUGAUAUGUUGUAACACCCCUAACCCGUCUCCGUCGCCGAAUCAGGGUUACGAGGCAUUACGAAACCAAGCUCACAUAAACAUAACUUUAAUAUCUAAUUCCAAAUGCAAGUCCAAUUCAUGAACAUAUAUAAUCAAAUUCAAGCAUGGAAACUAAACUCUUUUCACAUUGCUAUUUACACAAUAGGAUUCAAAACUAACCAAAACAUUAUCAAGCCUAUACAUGCCAUAAGAUCGAGUUCAAAUAUUUAACAAAAUACCAAAAGAAGUUGAUAGUGUGAUGGACUGUGCUGAUGAUCCCCGAGCUCGUAACGCGUCUCCAAAUCUAUAAAAACGAAUGAACGAAAGCAAACGAAGUAAGCUUUUAUAGCUUAGUAAGUCUCCAGCAUAACUAAAUGUAUAAUUAUAAACACAUAAUUAUUAUAACCUUUUAAUCUAUUCUACUGAAAUUUUAACUAACACAACCAACUAACAUUCAUACAUUAUUCUACUCAGACCAUUUCAUUUAUAGUCAGAUAUGUAUACCUGUCGGAUGAAUUCAGUUUAAUAUAUAUAUUAUACAAAACAACAUUACAAUUGAAUGUAUACCACCGAGCAUAUAUAUACAUAUUAUAUACAUAUCAAACCGAUUGUAUAUGUACACUCAUGGUAAGUUCUAAAUCAAUUCAAAUCUAACACAAAUAUAUAUACAUCAAUCACAUCUUAUAUUUGUUUGUAUAUAAAUAUACUCAUUAUGAAUUUAUACCUGAAUACCUAGGUAACACAUACAUUCGAAAUAUACACAUAUAUAUAUAUAUCUCAAAUGCAUACAUGAUUAAUUAUCAAACACAUAGGCUCAACAUAUAUAUGUUUAACUACCACAUAUCACCAUAUGCAUUUAUAAAUUCAGCAAUCACAUAUAUCUAAUGUACAUAUGUAUUCAUCGAUUUCAUAAAAUCACAAAUCAUAGAUAUAUCCAUUGCAUAUUCUAACACAAUUUAAACAGAUUCACCGGCAUUUUGCCUGCUAGGCUUAAAGCCUGAUUCAGUACACCGGCACUUAGCCUGCUAGACAUAUAGUCUGAAAUGUAUCACCGGCAUUAAGCCUACUAGACAUAUAGUCUGAAAUGUAUCACCGGCAUUAAGCCUGCUAGACUUAAAGUCUGAAAUGUAUCACCGGCAUUAAGCCUGCUAGACUUAAAGUCUGAAAUGUAUCACCGGCAUUAAGCCUGCUAGACUUAAAGUCUGAAUUACUUCACCGGCAUUAAGCCUGCUAGACUUAACGUCUGUAUUACAUUCAAUCACUUUAUAAUAAUUCAAACUAACAAUUUCAUAUCUUCACUACUAUUCAAAAACUUUUACGUGAAUAUACAUACAAAAUCGAAACUUUCACAUACAUAUAUAAUUCCAUACCAAAUUUCGAUUCAAGAAUUUAUACAUGUGCAUUUAUACAUAUUCGAAUCUACCAUAUGAAUGUAUAAUUUCAUACUCAAUUUCAAAACAAAAACUUGUACAUAUAUAAAUGCACAAUCAAUCCUCGCAUACUUAUAUAAUGACAUAACUAAAUUCAAUACACAACACAUACAUGUAUACUUGCAUGCUUAUUCGACUUUAUAUAUAUAUACAUACUUAUAUAAUCAUUCAAACCAUAUAUAUAUAUAUAUACCUAUAUCUUAUACAUACCUUUGAUUAAUCCAAUAAUUUAUACAAGAUCAUACUUGUAUAUUCGAACAUGUUAUAUACAAUAUCUAUAGUCCAAAGUUUAUUCAACUAUUAUACUUUAAAUUAUAGCUCAAUCAUAAGAUAAAAUUAGUAUGCAUGUAUAAAUAUUAACUUAAUAACUUUUAGUUGCUAAUAGACUUACCUCGGAUAUCAGCAAACACGAUCGACUAUUCGAUUUCCUUCGACUUCCCCCGAUCCAAAUUCGUUUUCUUCGUUCCUUGAUCUAAACAUAGUCAAAUUUAACCUUUUUAUUCAUCAAAACAUUCAUUUGAGUCCAACAAUACAUAAAUGGGAAAAUUACCAUUUUGCCCCUAACAUUUUGCACUUUUUGCAAUUUAGUCCUUUUUGCACAAAACACAAAAUACACAAAAUUUGCCCUUAACACACAAGGGCCGAAUAUUCAUGGUUCUCAUACAAGUCCACACAUUGCAUUUAUUUCACAUUUUAGUCCCUCAAAAAUUUAUUUUCACAAUUUAGCCCUAAAUACUCAAAUUCAUCAAAAAUCCCAAGACAAAACAUGUUAAUCUAAGACAUAUCUUCCAUUAUUCAUCAUCAAACAUCACAAAACACAAAUAUUCAUCAAUGGCAUAACUCAAAAUAUUCAUUAAAAUUAGAAAUUCAAGCAUGGGUCGGGUAGUAUUCAAAGCAACGAUCUCAAAAACGUAAAAAUUAUCAAAAACCGAAACCAAAGCAUACCUUAAUUUUGCUAUGAAAGUGCCGAAACUUAAGAAACCAUGGAUGGUUUCUUCCUUUCCAAUAUUCGGCUAACAAAGAUGAACAUAUUCAUCUUUUUAUGACUUAUUUUAGUUAUAAUAUUAUAAUUUACUUAAUGACUAAAUUAACCUUAAUUAAAUAAAUUAUAAAUUACAUAACUUAAGGGCAAUGUUGGCAUAUACCACCCACUAACUAAAUCUUGGUCUAAUUACAUCUUUAGACCUCCCACUUAAAAAGACAACUACAAAUAGGUGCUUUUAAAUUUUAACCUUUAACUUUUAUUUUACGCGAUUAAACCCUUUUAUUAAAUCGGACACUUAAACGACAAAAUUAAAACACGAAAAUUUUACACAAUCAAAUGCACACGAAAUAAACACACAAAAUAAUAUUAAUAAUAUUUUUCUAAUUCAGAUUUGUGGUCCCGAAACCACUAUUCUGAUUAGGGUCAAAACCGGGUUGUUACAACUCUCCCCCCCUUAGGGAUUUUCGUCCCCGAAAAUCUUACCGGUGAAUAGGUUUGGAUAACGCUCCUUCAUUGUAUCCUCUGACUCCCAAGUUGCUUCUUCAACUCCGUGUUUAUGCCACAAUACUUUAACUAACGGAAUUUUCUUAUUUCGUAAUUCCUUGAUCUCACGAGCCAGAAUGCUAAUCGGUUCUUCUUCAUAUGACAUAUCAGGGUUAAUUUCAAUCUCCGUCGGACAAAUCACAUGUGAAGGAUCAGAUCGGUAUCUACGGAGCAUCGAAACAUGAAAUACAUUGUGAAUCUUUUCUAACUCAGGUGGUAACAUCAAUCUAUAAGCAACCGGUCCGACACGUUCUAUAAUAUCAUACGGUCCAAUGAAUCUUGGACUCAAUUUUCCUUUACGACCGAAUCUGAGUACUUUCUUCCACGGUGAGACUUUCAAAAACACUUUAUCACCGAUCUGAAAUUCUAUAUCUUUUCUUCUCAAAUCCGCAUAAGAUUUCUGACGAUCUGAUGCUGAUUUCAGGCUGUCUCGAAUCACUUUCACUUUCUGUUCGGUCUCUUUAAUCAAAUCAACCCCGUGUAUCCUAUUUUCACUGAGCUCAGUCCAAUACAGUGGUGUACGACAUUUACGACCGUACAAAGCCUCAUAAGGUGCCAUUUUAAUACUAGAUUGAAAGCUGUUAUUAUAAGCAAAUUCAAUCAAAGGUAAAUAUCGUUCCCACGUACCUUCAAACUCGAGAAUGCAACAUCUCAACAUGUCCUCAAGUAUCUGUAUAAUUCGCUCCGAUUGACCAUCUGUUUGCGGAUGGAAAGCUGUGCUAAAAUGUAGUUUCGUACCUAAUGCAUCUUGUAAUUUCUUCCAAAACCGCGAUGUAAAUCUCGGGUCUCUGUCCGAAAUAAUAGAAAUAGGCACUCCGUGCAAUUUUACAAUCUGAGAAAUGUACAAUUCAGCAAGUUUAUCAAGCGAAUAAUCAAUACGAACCGGAAUAAAGUGAGCCGAUUUUGUCAAUCUAUCAACAACAACCCAAAUUGCAUCUUUCUUGCUGGGUGUUAACGGUAAACCGGAUACAAAAUCCAUCGUAACUCUGUCCCAUUUCCAUUCAGGUAUCAUGAUCGGCUGCAGCAAUCCAGAAGGUACCUGAUGCUCGGCUUUUACUUGCUGACAUAUUAAACAUUUCGAAACAAAGUCAGAAAUGUCUCGUUUCAUUCCAUGCCACCAAUAGUGUUGUUUCAGAUCAUUAUACAUUUUCGUGCUACCCGGAUGAAUAGAAAAUCGACUAUUAUGGGCUUCAUUCAAAAUCAUCUGAAUUAACUCUGGAUUUUUCGGAACACAUAAUCGGUUUCUGAAUCUCAAACAAUCCUCAGUAUCAACUAGAAACUCUGAAUCAACAUUUAAGUCACACUGAGUUCGUUUUGCAAUUAAAUCAUCAUCGGCUUUUUGAGCUUCACAAAUCUGUUGAACAAAUAACGGUUUUGCUUUCAACUCAGCUACUAUCGCACCAUCAUCAGACAUAACCAUAUGUGCAUUCAUUGCACGCAAAGCAAACAGUGAUUUUCGACUUAGGGCAUCAGCAACAACAUUAGCCUUUCCCGGAUGAUAGUCAAUCACGAGCUCGUAAUCUUUCAACAAUUCUAACCAUCGACGCUGUCUCAAAUUCAGAUCUUUCUGAGUCAUCAAAUAUUUCAAGCUUUUAUGAUCGGAAUAAACAUGACAUCUUUCGCCAAACAGAUAGUGACGCCAUAUUUUUAACGCAAAUACAAUAGCGGCCAAUUCCAGAUCAUGCGUCGGAUAGUUCUUUUCAUGCGGCUUUAACUGUCUCGAGGCAUAGGCUACAACUUUGCCUUCCUGCAUCAAUACACAGCCCAAACCAUUUAAAGAUGCAUCACUAUAGAUAACAAACUCUUUACCCGAUUCGGGUUGAACUAGGACUGGAGCUUUGGUUAAAAGAGCUUUCAACUGAUCGAAACUUUUCUGGCACUUUUCUGACCAUUCAAACUUAACGUCUUUUUGUAGUAACCUUGUCAUCGGGGUCGCAAUCAUAGAGAACCCUUUCACAAAACGUCUAUAAUAGCCAGCGAGCCCCAGAAAGCUUCGAACUUCCGAAACAUUCCUCGGAGGUUUCCAAUCAAGUAUAACUGAAAUUUUACUCGGAUCAACCCAAAUACCCGAUGCUGAUACAACAUGGCCCAGAAAACUGACUUCACGUAACCAGAACUCACAUUUACUAAACUUUGCAUACAACUGCUUAUCUCGCAAAGUUUGUAACACAAGUCUCAGAUGUUCAGCAUGCUCAUUUUCGUCUCGAGAGUAGAUCAAAAUGUCAUCAAUAAAUACUACCACAAACCGAUCCAGAUACUUCCUAAAGAUCCGAUUCAUCAAGUCCAUGAAAAUAGCAGGUGCAUUAGUAAGUCCGAAAGGCAUAACAAGAAACUCAUAAUGUCCGUACCUCGUUCGGAAAGCAGUCUUUGGCACAUCAGAGUCUUUAACUCGCAACUGAUAGUAGCCUGAUCUCAGAUCUAUCUUUGAAAACACAGUAGCCCCUUUCAACUGAUCGAACAAAUCAUCAAUCCGUGGUAACGGAUACUUAUUCUUUAUAGUCACUUUAUUGAGUUGCCGGUAAUCAAUGCACAUUCUCAUCGUUCCGUCUUUCUUUCUCACAAAUAGAACUGGUGCACCCCAAGGAGAGAAACUCGGUCGUGCAAAACCUUUAUCAGUCAGCUCUUGCAACUGUACUUUCAAUUCUUUUAAUUCGGUCGGUGCCAUACGGUACGGAGCUAUCGAUAUGGGAGUCGUCCCUGGUACUAACUCAAUACCAAACUCUACCUCUCGAAUAGGUGGCAAACCCGGUAAUUCUUCGGGAAACACGUCUGAAUACUCACACACUACUGGUACAGAUUCAAUCUUCUUUUCGGUCACUUUACUAUCAAGAACAAAUGCAAGGUAAGCUUCACAACCCCUUCUCACAUACUUCUGAGCCGACAUCGAGGAUAUUAUUGCUGAUAAACCAUUCAGAUCAUUAGAUUCGAUCCGAAUAAUCUCAUCAUUCUGACACCGUAGAUCAAUAGUUUUCCGUUUGCAGUUUACAAUAGCAUCAUGUAGAGUUAACCAAUCCAUACCCAGAAUUAUAUCGAACUCGUCGAAUGGUAACAACAUCAAAUCAGCUGGAAAACAUAAAUCUCGAAUCAUCAACGGACAAUUCUUGCACACUUUGUCAACCAAAACACACCGGCCCAGGGGGUUCGAUACUUUAAUUACAAACUCAGUAGACUCAACAGGCAAAGUCUUACUGAAUACUAAAGUCUCACACACAUAAGAAUGAGUCGAACCAGGAUCAAUCAAUGCAAUAACAUUAGUAUCAUAAAGAGUGAAAGUACCAGUAAUAACAUCUGGAGAAGAAGCCUCCUCUCGAGCACGGAUGGCAUAAGCUCUGGCAGGUGCACGGGCCUUAGAUCGAAUUGCUGUGUCCCUGGUUCCUCUCUGACUACCACUUACAUUACUCAAUUGUCUCGGCGGUCUACCUCGGACUGGCACAUUACUCGGUCUGGUAUCCUGCACAGUGUUUUGCUCAGCUACCAUCGGACACUCUCGAAUGAAAUGAUCUUUUGAACCACACUUGAAGCAAGACCGAUCAUGGAAUCUGCAAUCCCCAGGAUGCCAUUUCCCACAAUGCUUACACUCUGAUCUAUUUUGUCGAACACUACCAACGCUAGCAACUGAAGUAGCUCGUGAACUCACAGGGGGUCGAUCUCGAUCAUACUUAGGAAACCCUGCAGUAGCUUUAGAUUGGCUAUGAUCCGCUCUGAAUUUCCUUGAGGUCGACUGAAAUGAUUUACUGAAUGAUCUUUUACGAGAAUCUCGAGCUUCAUAGUCAGCUUUCCUCUUCUCUUUCCCGAGCUCCUCAGCUUUACAAGCUCGUUCCACAAGUACUACAAACUCUUUUAUCUCAAGUAUACCAACUAACAGUUUAAUAUCUUCGUUCAGCCCAUCUUCAAAUCUUCUACACAUGAUAGCUUCAGUUGAAACACACUCUCGAGCAUAUCUACUAAGUCUCACAAAUUUCCGUUCAUAUUCUGUCACUGUCAUACGACCCUGUUUCAGUUCAAGAAAUUCCUUACGUUUCUGAUCAAUAAAUCUCUGGCUGAUGUAUUUCUUACGAAACUCAGUCUGAAAGAAUUCCCAGGUCACUCGCUCUUUCGGAACCACCGAUGCUAGUGUAUUCCACCAGUGAUAUGCAGUGUCCCGUAGCAAGGAUAUGGCACAUUUCAAGCACUCAUCAGGGGUGCAAGACAACUCAUCAAACACUCGAAUAGUAUUAUCAAGCCAGAAUUCAGCUCGCUCAGCAUCAUCAUCAUCAGUAGCUCUGAACUCUUCGGCCCCGUGUUUUCGAAUUUUGUCAACCGGAGGCUUAAGUAAUCUCAUUGGAUCACUUACUUGGGGUAUAACAGGAAUCGAAGAUGGAUUAGUCGGGGGUGGAGGUUGUUGUGUAACCGGAUUAGUUCGGACAUAAUGAGUAAACCAGUCAUUCAUCAUUUGGUAGAAGGCUUGUUUAGCCUCUCCCUCCUGGUUACUCGAGGUCGGUCGAGAAUCUACCGGCUCUGUCCCUUGUGCGGGAGCAGGCGCUAUACUCUCAACAUCAUCGGCUACGGCUCGAUCGGGAUCCAUUACUAUACGAAAACACAUUUUUAGACAUCAGCAGUCAUCACACUAUCUCGAUAUAAAAAUUAUGGCAUGUAUAGCUAGACUCAUACAUGCUACGUUAGUCCAAGAAUCGACUAAACCGUAGCUCUGAUACCAAUAAAAUGUAACACCCCUAACCCGUCUCCGUCGCCGAAUCAGGGUUACGAGGCAUUACGAAACCAAGCUCACAUAAACAUAACUUUAAUAUCUAAUUCCAAAUGCAAGUCCAAUUCAUGAACAUAUAUAAUCAAAUUCAAGCAUGGAAACUAAACUCUUUUCACAUUGCUAUUUACACAAUAGGAUUCAAAACUAACCAAAACAUUAUCAAGCCUAUACAUGCCAUAAGAUCGAGUUCAAAUAUUUAACAAAAUACCAAAAGAAGUUGAUAGUGUGAUGGACUGUGCUGAUGAUCCCCGAGCUCGUAACGCGUCUCCAAAUCUAUAAAAACGAAUGAACGAAAGCAAACGAAGUAAGCUUUUAUAGCUUAGUAAGUCUCCAGCAUAACUAAAUGUAUAAUUAUAAACACAUAAUUAUUAUAACCUUUUUAAUCUAUUCUACUGAAAUUUUAACUAACACAACCAACUAACAUUCAUACAUUAUUCUACUCAGACCAUUUCAUUUAUAGUCAGAUAUGUAUACCUGUCGGAUGAAUUCAGUUUAAUAUAUAUAUUAUACAAAACAACAUUACAAUUGAAUGUAUACCACCGAGCAUAUAUAUACAUAUUAUAUACAUAUCAAACCGAUUGUAUAUGUACACUCAUGGUAAGUUCUAAAUCAAUUCAAAUCUAACACAAAUAUAUAUACAUCAAUCACAUCUUAUAUUUGUUUGUAUAUAAAUAUACUCAUUAUGAAUUUAUACCUGAAUACCUAGGUAACACAUACAUUCGAAAUAUACACAUAUAUAUAUAUCUCAAAUGCAUACAUGAUUAAUUAUCAAACACAUAGGCUCAACAUAUAUAUGUUUAACUACCACAUAUCACCAUAUGCAUUUAUAAAUUCAGCAAUCACAUAUAUCUAAUGUACAUAUGUAUUCAUCGAUUUCAUAAAAUCACAAAUCAUAGAUAUAUCCAUUGCAUAUUCUAACACAAUUUAAACAGAUUCACCGGCAUUUUGCCUGCUAGGCUUAAAGCCUGAUUCAGUACACCGGCACUUAGCCUGUUAGACAUAUAGUCUGAAAUGUAUCACCGGCAUUAAGCCUGCUAGACUUAAAGUCUGAAAUGUAUCACCGGCAUUAAGCCUGCUAGACUUAAAGUCUGAAUUACUUCACCGGCAUUAAGCCUGCUAGACUUAACGUCUGUAUUACAUUCAAUCACUUUAUAAUAAUUCAAACUAACAAUUUCAUAUCUUCACUACUAUUCAAAAACUUUUACGUGAAUAUACAUACAAAAUCGAAACUUUCACAUACAUAUAUAAUUCCAUACCAAAUUUCGAUUCAAGAAUUUAUACAUGUGCAUUUAUACAUAUUCGAAUCUACCAUAUGAAUGUAUAAUUUCAUACUCAAUUUCAAAACAAAAACUUGUACAUAUAUAAAUGCACAAUCAAUCCUCGCAUACUUAUAUAAUGACAUAACUAAAUUCAAUACACAACACAUACAUGUAUACUUGCAUGCUUAUUCGACUUUAUAUAUAUAUACAUACUUAUAUAAUCAUUCAAACCAUAUAUAUAUAUAUAUACCUAUAUCUUAUACAUACCUUUGAUUAAUCCAAUAAUUUAUACAAGAUCAUACUUGUAUAUUCGAACAUGUUAUAUACAAUAUCUAUAGUCCAAAGUUUAUUCAACUAUUAUACUUUAAAUUAUAGCUCAAUCAUAAGAUAAAAUUAGUAUGCAUGUAUAAAUAUUAACUUAAUAACUUUUAGUUGCUAAUAGACUUACCUCGGAUAUCAGCAAACACGAUCGACUAUUCGAUUUCCUUCGACUUCCCCCGAUCCAAAUUCGUUUUCUUCGUUCCUUGAUCUAAACAUAGUCAAAUUUAACCUUUUUAUUCAUCAAAACAUUCAUUUGAGUCCAACAAUACAUAAAUGGGAAAAUUACCAUUUUGCCCCUAACAUUUUGCACUUUUUGCAAUUUAGUCCUUUUUGCACAAAACACAAAAUACACAAAAUUUGCCCUUAACACACAAGGGCCGAAUAUUCAUGGUUCUCAUACAAGUCCACACAUUGCAUUUAUUUCACAUUUUAGUCCCUCAAAAAUUUAUUUUCACAAUUUAGCCCUAAAUACUCAAAUUCAUCAAAAAUCCCAAGACAAAACAUGUUAAUCUAAGACAUAUCUUCCAUUAUUCAUCAUCAAACAUCACAAAACACAAAUAUUCAUCAAUGGCAUAACUCAAAAUAUUCAUUAAAAUUAGAAAUUCAAGCAUGGGUCGGGUAGUAUUCAAAGCAACGAUCUCAAAAACGUAAAAAUUAUCAAAAACCGAAACCAAAGCAUACCUUAAUUUUGCUAUGAAAGUGCCGAAACUUAAGAAACCAUGGAUGGUUUCUUCCUUUCCAAUAUUCGACUAACAAAGAUGAACAUAUUCAUCUUUUUAUGACUUAUUUUAGUUAUAAUAUUAUAAUUUACUUAAUGACUAAAUUAACCUUAAUUAAAUAAAUUAUAAAUUACAUAACUUAAGGGCAAUGUUGGCAUAUACCACCCACUAACUAAAUCUUGGUCUAAUUACAUCUUUAGACCUCCCACUUAAAAAGACAACUACAAAUAGGUGCUUUUAAAUUUUAACCUUUAACUUUUAUUUUACGCGAUUAAACCCUUUUAUUAAAUCGGACACUUAAACGACAAAAUUAAAACACGAAAAUUUUACACAAUCAAAUGCACACGAAAUAAACACACAAAAUAAUAUUAAUAAUAUUUUUCUAAUUCAGAUUUGUGGUCCCAAAACCAGUAUUCUGAUUAGGGUCAAAACCGGGUUGUUACAUAUGUAUCAUGAAAUGUGUAUAUAUAUAUUAAUAUAUUGAUAUGUGAUACAUGAAAAUUAUGUAAGUUGAGACGAGUAUAAAUUCAAGUGUGACAUGUUGAGAUAAUAAGUUUAUCAAUGUUGAAUUUAUAUGAAAUAUGUUAAAGUAUGCUAACAAAUGUUGUUGUUGAUACUUAGACAAGUUCCAAGCUACUGGUUAAAUGGUAAUAUGUUUAUUUAUAUGAUGCGUUAAAACGGAAGUG